rnacentral:tRNA from 1 species
AUUUAUCUAAUAUAUAAGUAUAUUUGACUUCCAAUUAAAAAGUUUGUUAAAAACAAGAUAAAUA